CCAAUAGCGUAUAUUAAAGUUGUUGCAGUUAAAAAGCUCGUAGUUGAAUUUCGGGAUUAGUACGUUGGUCGUGCCUUCGGUACGUACUGGUGUUACUGAUUCCUACCUUCUGACGAACCAUCAUGUCAUUAAUUUGGUGUGGCGGGGAAUCAGGACUGUUACUUUGAAAAAAUUAGAGUGUUUAAAGCAGGCUCGCGCUUGAAUACAUUAGCAUGGAAUAAUGAAAUAGGACGUUGACCCUAUUUUGUUGGUUUCUAGGAUUGACGUAAUGAUUAAUAGGGAUAGUUGGGGGCAUUAGUAUUCAAUUGUCAGAGGUGAAAUUCUUGGAUUUAUUGAAGACUAACUACUGCGAAAGCAUUUGCCAAGGAUGUUUUCAUUAAUCAAGAACGAAAGUUAGGGGAUCGAAGACGAUCAGAUACCGUCGUAGUCUUAACCAUAAACGAUGCCAACCAGCGAUUAGCCUGAGUUCCUUAAAUGACUCGGCUAGCAGCUUCCG
rnacentral:misc_RNA from 1 species